rnacentral:rRNA from 1 species
UACAGAGGGGGCAAGCGUUGUUCGGAAUUACUGGGCGUAAAGGGCGCGUAGGCGGCCUGCUAAGUCGAACGUGAAAUCCCCGGGCUCAACCCGGGAACUGCGUCCGAUACUGACAGGCUUGAAUCCGGGAGAGGGAUGUGGAAUUCCAGGUGUAGCGGUGAAAUGCGUAGAUAUCUGGAGGAACAUCGGUGGCGAAGGCGGCAUCCUGGACCGGUAUUGACGCUGAGGCGCGAAAGCCAGGGGAGCAAACGGG